rnacentral:rRNA from 1 species
GGUUAAGCGACUAAGCGUACACGGUGGAUGCCCUGGCAGUCAGAGGCGAUGAAGGGCGUGCUAAUCUGCGAUAAGCGCCGGUAAGGUGAUAUGAACCGUUAUAACCGGCGAUACCCGAAUGGGGAAACCCAGUGUGACUCGUCACACUAUCAUUAACUGAAUCCAUAGGUUAAUGAGGCGAACCGGGGGAACUGAAACAUCUAAGUACCCCGAGGAAAAGAAAUCAACCGAGAUUCCCCCAGUAGCGGCGAGCGAACGGGGAGGAGCCCAGAGCCUGAAUCAGCAUGUGUGUUAGUGGAAGCGUCUGGAAAGGCGCGCGAUACAGGGUGACAGCCCCGUACACAAAAGCGCAUGUGCUGUGAGCUCGAUGAGUAGGGCGGGACACGUGGUAUCCUGUCUGAAUAUGGGGGGACCAUCCUCCAAGGCUAAAUACUCCUGACUGACCGAUAGUGAACCAGUACCGUGAGGGAAAGGCGAAAAGAACCCCGGCGAGGGGAGUGAAAAAGAACCUGAAACCGUGUACGUACAAGCAGUGGGAGCACAGGUUUACCUGUGUGACUGCGUACCUUUUGUAUAAUGGGUCAGCGACUUAUAUUCUGUAGCAAGGUUAACCGUAUAGGGGAGCCGUAGGGAAACCGAGUCUUAACCGGGCGUUAAGUUGCAGGGUAUAGACCCGAAACCCGGUGAUCUAGCCAUGGGCAGGUUGAAGGUUGGGUAACACUAACUGGAGGACCGAACCGACUAAUGUUGAAAAAUUAGCGGAUGACCUGUGGCUGGGGGUGAAAGGCCAAUCAAACCGGGAGAUAGCUGGUUCUCCCCGAAAGCUAUUUAGGUAGCGCCUCGUGAAUUCAUCUCCGGGGGUAGAGCACUGUUUCGGCUAGGGGGCCAUCCCGGCUUACCAACCCGAUGCAAACUGCGAAUACCGGAGAAUGUUAUCACGGGAGACACACGGCGGGUGCUAACGUCCGUCGUGAAGAGGGAAACAACCCAGACCGCCAGCUAAGGUCCCAAAGUCAUGGUUAAGUGGGAAACGAUGUGGGAAGGCCCAGACAGCCAGGAUGUUGGCUUAGAAGCAGCCAUCAUUUAAAGAAAGCGUAAUAGCUCACUGGUCGAGUCGGCCUGCGCGGAAGAUGUAACGGGGCUAAACCAUGCACCGAAGCUGCGGCAGCGACGCUGAUGCGUUGUUGGGUAGGGGAGCGUUCUGUAAGCCUGCGAAGGUGGCCUGUGAGGGUUGCUGGAGGUAUCAGAAGUGCGAAUGCUGACAUAAGUAACGAUAAAGCGGGUGAAAAGCCCGCUCGCCGGAAGACCAAGGGUUCCUGUCCAACGUUAAUCGGGGCAGGGUGAGUCGACCCCUAAGGCGAGGCCGAAAGGCGUAGUCGAUGGGAAACGGGUUAAUAUUCCCGUACUUGGUGUUACUGCGAAGGGGGGACGGAGAAGGCUAUGUUGGCCGGGCGACGGUUGUCCCGGUUUAAGCGUGUAGGUGUGUGUUCCAGGUAAAUCCGGUUCACUUUAACACUGAGGCGUGACGACGAGGCACUACGGUGCUGAAGCAACAAAUGCCCUGCUUCCAGGAAAAGCCUCUAAGCAUCAGGUAACAUCAAAUCGUACCCCAAACCGACACAGGUGGUCAGGUAGAGAAUACCAAGGCGCUUGAGAGAACUCGGGUGAAGGAACUAGGCAAAAUGGUGCCGUAACUUCGGGAGAAGGCACGCUGACACGUAGGUGAAGUGAUUUACUCAUGGAGCUGAAGUCAGUCGAAGAUACCAGCUGGCUGCAACUGUUUAUUAAAAACACAGCACUGUGCAAACACGAAAGUGGACGUAUACGGUGUGACGCCUGCCCGGUGCCGGAAGGUUAAUUGAUGGGGUCAGCGCAAGCGAAGCUCCUGAUCGAAGCCCCGGUAAACGGCGGCCGUAACUAUAACGGUCCUAAGGUAGCGAAAUUCCUUGUCGGGUAAGUUCCGACCUGCACGAAUGGCGUAAUGAUGGCCAGGCUGUCUCCACCCGAGACUCAGUGAAAUUGAACUCGCUGUGAAGAUGCAGUGUACCCGCGGCAAGACGGAAAGACCCCGUGAACCUUUACUAUAGCUUGACACUGAACAUUGAGCCUUGAUGUGUAGGAUAGGUGGGAGGCUUUGAAGUGUGGACGCCAGUCUGCAUGGAGCCGACCUUGAAAUACCACCCUUUAAUGUUUGAUGUUCUAACGUGGACCCGUAAUCCGGGUUGCGGACAGUGUCUGGUGGGUAGUUUGACUGGGGCGGUCUCCUCCUAAAGAGUAACGGAGGAGCACGAAGGUUGGCUAAUCCUGGUCGGACAUCAGGAGGUUAGUGCAAUGGCAUAAGCCAGCUUGACUGCGAGCGUGACGGCGCGAGCAGGUGCGAAAGCAGGUCAUAGUGAUCCGGUGGUUCUGAAUGGAAGGGCCAUCGCUCAACGGAUAAAAGGUACUCCGGGGAUAACAGGCUGAUACCGCCCAAGAGUUCAUAUCGACGGCGGUGUUUGGCACCUCGAUGUCGGCUCAUCACAUCCUGGGGCUGAAGUAGGUCCCAAGGGUAUGGCUGUUCGCCAUUUAAAGUGGUACGCGAGCUGGGUUUAGAACGUCGUGAGACAGUUCGGUCCCUAUCUGCCGUGGGCGCUGGAGAACUGAGGGGGGCUGCUCCUAGUACGAGAGGACCGGAGUGGACGCAUCACUGGUGUUCGGGUUGUCAUGCCAAUGGCACUGCCCGGUAGCUAAAUGCGGAAGAGAUAAGUGCUGAAAGCAUCUAAGCACGAAACUUGCCCCGAGAUGAGUUCUCCCUGAGACUUAAAGUCUCCUGAAGGAACGUUGAAGACGACGACGUUGAUAGGCCGGGUGUGUAAGCGCAGCGAUGCGUUGAGCUAACCGGUACUAAUGAACCGUGAGGCUUAACCUU